rnacentral:rRNA from 1 species
GAUGAACGCUGGCGGCGUGCCUAAUACAUGCAAGUCGAGCGAAUGGAUUAAGAGCUUGCUCUUAUGAAGUUAGCGGCGGACGGGUGAGUAACACGUGGGUAACCUGCCCAUAAGACUGGGAUAACUCCGGGAAACCGGGGCUAAUACCGGAUAACAUUUUGAACCGCAUGGUUCGAAAUUGAAAGGCGGCUUCGGCUGUCACUUAUGGAUGGACCCGCGUCGCAUUAGCUAGUUGGUGAGGUAAUGGCUCACCAAGGCAACGAUGCGUAGCCGACCUGAGAGGGUGAUCGGCCACACUGGGACUGAGACACGGCCCAGACUCCUACGGGAGGCAGCAGUAGGGAAUCUUCCGCAAUGGACGAAAGUCUGACGGAGCAACGCCGCGUGAGUGAUGAAGGCUUUCGGGUCGUAAAACUCUGUUGUUAGGGAAGAACAAGUGCUAGUUGAAUAAGCUGGCACCUUGACGGUACCUAACCAGAAAGCCACGGCUAACUACGUGCCAGCCGCCGCCGUAAUAC